CAAGAGUCCUGAGAAAGAAAGGCACAGGACGCCCACUUUCCAGCCUGGAAGACUCUUCACCCCCAUCCCCACAUGGCUGGUCCAUCUCAUUCUAGCCUCAGUUCAGGUGGACUCUCCAGAGAUGCCUGCCCUGACCACUCUCCACUGUUGCCCACCCACAUUCUCCUGCAUCUCAGCACUCACCACAUUCCGGAAUUAUUUUAUUUGUUCACUUGUCUUGUGCCCAUCUCCCCUCCACUGGAAUGCCAGCUCCAAGAAGGCACAGAGUUUUUCCUGUUUUGUUUCCUG